GAGAAAAAUUCAGGUUUGUCUCUUUAAACAGUCACUGAUUGUUGAUACACAGAUUUUCGGGCUUUAAUGUUGGAUCUUUCAGUUCAGUCUGAAAAUCAUUGUAGUUACUGGCUGUUUAAAGGCAGCAGGAGACUUGAAUUUUUCUUACUUGGAGAGAAUAAAUAAUAUUUUAUUUAAUUUAAAACUGUAAAUAUUGCUUAUUCUCUCAAAUUAAAAAAAAAAUUGGAGACUCAUGUGUCUUUGGACAGUCACUAACUAUUGAGACAUGGAAAAAAAAAUCAGACUUAACUAAAAAGUCUAACAUUGUACUAAUUUUCAAUGUUUAAAAAACAAACUUACAAAUGUUUUUUAGCUCUCAAACUAUUCUAAAAAUGUCGUUUUCGUAUAAUUUUAACUUUUUAAUCUCUAGUUUCUCCCCCAAAUGAGAGGAAUUCAACCCUGAUGCGCUUUUCAAACAGUUAACUGAUUAGAAUCGUUUUAAAAAGAUCUAAAAUUAAACUUUAAAAAACAAAUUUACAGAAUUUUUUUUUUUAAUCAUGUUAGACAUUCUCUAUCCAAUUUUGAAAACCAGUACAGUUGGUGCCCGUUUAAACACUUAGUAAGAGUUGAAUUUUUCUCAUUCAGGAAGUGUUAGUAAUGCGAAUGUGUUACCACAUAACUCGUGUAAACGGGAUUGCACGUCUAUUUGCAUAAAUUGCGUUACCAAAUGCGAAUUUUCCAAACGGCAAAUCGAGUAUUUCUUUCGUUAAACGUUCUAAACAAUCGGAGAGAGAUAGAACACCACACAUACACACACACACCAUUAAUCAAACAUUUUUCCAAAGUCACGCCAGUUGUUAAUAAAGGAAAAUUCUCGAGUGAAACCUUUCAAAUUGUCUACAUAAUAUUGUAUAACCUUUGGAGAGAUUCCUCAGAUCUAAUAAUGAAUAAUUCAAGAUGGAUUGGAUUAUGUAGCGGGUAUAGUUGCUUCUGGAUGAUAGAUACAGUAGCUGUAGCCAAUUAAGUUGCUUUCUGAUUUGCAUCUUAAUUAAGCGUCGACAGUAUCGAGUUUAUCAUUACUAGAAAGAUGGGCACAGCAUGACUUGGAUAUUGAUAGAAUUAUUAAUGCAUCCAACGAGGUCUUAAUUGCACAUUUUGUGCCCGAUCCUACUACUACUACUACUACUACUCUGCAUCUAGAUCGAUUGUCGUAAGGUGUUGAAUUAAAUGAUCUUCUAUGUACACUGUGAAAGUAAACAGCUUUGUAGCCAAUAAGAUUCCAAAUUUCCAUCUCAAACUCGGCAAAAUAACGCCAAUUUUGACACCGAAAAUGAAUUUAAAUGCUAUGAACGAUGUGCAAAAAGAUCAUCCCAAUCUUUUGAUUGGUUAAUUACCUUCGAAUUUCGUUCGAACGUAUCGGUUGGCCAUAGCCUACUAUAAUUACGAUCUGGUUUCUGACCAAUUUGUACCACACGAAAAAAAAAAAAAAGAGCAUCUGGUGAUAGAUUUUCAGACGUCGAAUUCUGACCUCUGGAGUGACCUUUCUUGAAACUUCUCCAAUAACUGUCACACAGUUUCCAAAGAAUAGCUCUACUGGAUAUCACAAUAGCUUAGGCGUUUUCCGACGGAACAAUAGCAUGGAAAUUCUUAUCGCCUGUUUUAUCAAGAAUGGCGAUAUAAUGUUACGUUCGCCUCUGAAUGGUUUAAUGCACUUUAUGAACUGGGAGACUGCAACCCGCGUUUACGUGCCGGACAGUUGCAUGACUUUGCAUAAUUACCCCUUUUUUUUCCUUUUUCUUAUUCUUUAUGCAAUUUCAACUCUUGUUUAUACAUAAAUCUUAUGCAUUUAUGAAUUCUACGUCGGUUGAGUUUCGUAAAUUCAGAGUUUUAUAGAUUCUGAUUUUGUUCAGUUUCGUAAAUUCUGACUUUGUACAGUUUCGUAGUUUCUGAACUCGUAGUUUCGCAGAUUCCGAUUUUGCCCAGUUUUUCGCAGAUUCAGAUUUUGUCCUGUUUUCGCAGAUUCAGAAUUUUCUGUCCAG
rnacentral:lncRNA from 1 species